rnacentral:rRNA from 1 species
UAGGGAAUCUUCGGCAAUGGACGGAAGUCUGACCGAGCAACGCCGCGUGAGUGAAGAAGGUUUUCGGAUCGUAAAGCUCUGUUGUUAGAGAAGAACGUUGGUAGGAGUGGAAAAUCUACCAAGUGACGGUAACUAACCAGAAAGGGACGGCUAACUACGUGCCAGCAGCCGCGGUAAUACGUAGGUCCCGAGCGUUGUCCGGAUUUAUUGGGCGUAAAGCGAGCGCAGGCGGUUCUUUAAGUCUGAAGUUAAAGGCAGUGGCUUAACCAGUGUACGCUUUGGAAACUGGAGGACUUGAGUGCAGAAGGGGAGGGUGGAAUUCCAUGUGUAGCGGUGAAAUGCGUAGAUAUAUGGAGGAACACCGGUGGCGAAAGCGGCUCUCUGGUCUGUAACUGACGCUGAGGCUCGAAAGCGUGGGGAGCAAACAGG